rnacentral:misc_RNA from 1 species
AAGUCGUAACAAGGUCUCCGUAGGUGAACCUGCGGAGGGAUCAUUACAGAGUUCUUGCCCUUACGGGUAGAUCUCCCACCCUGUGUUAUCAUUACCUUUGUUGCUUUGGCGGAUCGUUCGGUUCUGUCGACCACCGGCUUCGGCUGGUGUGCGUCCGCCAGAGGACCCCAAACUCUGAAUAUUAGUGUCGUCUGAGUACUAUAUAAUAGUUAAAACUUUCAACAACGGAUCUCUUGGCUCUC